GCGCUCUUCAUUUAGCCUGGUAGAAUGUGGGUCGUUAAAACCCAAUUCCGUAGGUUCAAAUCCUACAGAGCGCG
rnacentral:tRNA from 1 species